CGCCGGUAAAUAAACUAUCGGUAUAUCUGCCCAGUGAAUUUUUCAACGGCCGCAGUAUUUUUAACUGUGCUAAGGUAGCAUAAUAAUUAGUUUUUUAAUUGAAAACUCGUAUGAAAGAAUCGACGAGAGGCUUUCUGUCUCGGUAAUUCUAAAAACUUACUAUAAUGGUAAAAAAGCCAUUAUAAUCUAAUGGGACGACAAGACCCUAUAAAACUUUACUCUACCUGCUGCGAAUAUUAAUUCUUUCCCAGAGCACGAGUUAUGCUGGGGCGGCAAUUUUUAAUUUAAACAACUACCAACUUAACAUAAUCUAUGAUAUUACCAAACCCUCCUAAGUAACGAAGAACAAGUUACUUUAGGGAUAACAGCGUAAUAUUUCUUUAGAGCUCUUAUCGACAGAAAUGAUUUCGACCUCGAUGUUGAAUUGAAGACUCUCUGUAGAGCAGCCUCUGCGGCGGAAAGUCUGUUCGACUUUUAAACCUUC
rnacentral:rRNA from 1 species